GGUCGGUUAGCUCAGCUGGUUAGAGCGUCGUACUAAUAUCUCUCCUUGGGGAAAUAUGAAGUAAAUGCGAAGGUCAUGAGUUCAAUCCUCAUACUGACCA